CCUGAGCCUUAAAAAAAAAAAUCUGUCUUUACAGCAUCUAAGAUUUACCAUAUUUUCCAUUACUCUCCAUUAACUAGCUUUGAAUUUUAACCUUAUCUGACAAAGAGUUGGGAUACUGGACUCCACAAUUCCAGGAAUAGAUUACAUUAUUAAACACCAAAAUUGAAGCAUUUCUCAGUUUUAGAAGGAAGAAGAAUGUUAAUACAAUUUAUCAAAUAUGUCAUGAAUUUGUUUGGGAGAACUGUAUAUGAAUGAAUAUGAUGAGUCAAGAAUUAUUAACUUCUAAAUAUUUCACUGAGUAUUCCAGUGAAUGCAGCCAAACUUAAUUUAGGUAAAGAUGGUUAAAAACAUAUUCCUC
rnacentral:lncRNA from 1 species